rnacentral:rRNA from 1 species
UUACAUGAGCGCAGCUGAUGCAGCACGCCGCGUGAGUGAUGAAGGUCUUCGGGUUGUAAACCUCUUUUGGUAGGUACGAUUGAUGACGGCCUGUUUAUAAGGUCUGGCUAACUACCGUGCCAGCAACCGCCGUAAUCGUACAUGCCAGCAUACACGGUAAUAA